UGUUUGCAUUAAAAAGCCCCCCAAAUGAGGCUGUGCUCAAGGAAGAAGAGUCCCCUUCUGGGAGCGUUCCGGUCCGGCGUCCGGAUCCCAUCCCAGCGCGGACUGUCAUCUGCCCCUCGCCCGGCCCCUCGGGCAGGAUGGCAUUCUCAGGGGAGGUGAAGGAUCCAAGUUCGGACCUACGGCACUGACACCGGCGCCAGCGGCCCUGGGCACUGUGGGGCCGGGUCGGAGACGGACGCGACAGCCACCCCAGGGGGCAUCCGCCUUGGUCAGCAGGUCAGGAGCUGCCCAAGACAGAGCCCGGCGCCCACGCGGGCUGGGAGCCCCGGGCCUGGGGCGCCACGCCCGCCGCCCGCUACAGACCCUCCCAGUCCUGGCGAGCCCGCCUCUGUCCUGUCACACGCACUGACAGGGGAAACCGAGGCUGGGGAGGAAGUCCCUGCCUGCCUCCCGCAAAGCUCUUAGCGCCUGGCUGCCGCCUGGGACGCUGGGUGCCCUGCCUGGGCGUGGCGUGGGCACCACACUGGGUUAACUCAUCUGGGCCCAGAGGAUGCGCAGGGCCCCGCAGUGCCAGCGUCGGUGCUCACGGGCACUUGGUAUUGAAGGUGGUUUUCGCAGAGCUACGGAGGCUGCUUGGAGAAGACCGGACCCCGGCCAAGCUCCAGUGACACCAGCAGCCCGGAAGCCUCAGGACCAAGGGCAGCUCAAGUCCUGGCCCCCGGGACCUGGCUCAGUCUGUCCAGCUGUAGAACAGACAGAGAUGCACAUGAAAAAGCUCACCCUAGACUUUAUCAAAAUUAAAAUCUCUUGGGCCGGGGAUUUAGCUCGGUGCUGCCACCUGCCUUGCAAGCGCAGGGUCCUGAGUUCUAUCCCUCGUACCAAAAAAAAAAAAAAAAAAAAAAAAAAUUAAAAUCUCUUGCUCUUUAAAAAAUACUAUUACAGAAAACAAGUACGCCAGAGACUAGGGGAAAAUAUUGAAAAACUGAUGUCCAAUAUCCAGGCACAGAAGCCCAUGCCUGUAGUCCCAGCACUCAGAAUCCUGAGGCAGGAGGAUCACCAGGAGUUCAACACAGCCUGGGCUUUGUAGUGAGUUCAAGAUCAGCCUGCACUAUGCAGUGAGACCCUGUCUCAAAAAAAAGCAAACCCCAAAACCCGGGUGAAAAUUGUGAGCAGACAGUUCCCCCAAGGAGGUGCAGGAGAGGGAACUAGGAAAAGAGCACUUGUCCACCUCGUAGGCCACUAAAGAAAUGCACAGGAGAGCCACAGGAGACAGCUGUCCCCACACACUUACUCCAGAGGCUAAGGCCGGAGGGACAGCUUGCAAGGCACAGUGAUGCCCAUCUGUUCCAGCCAUCCAGCUAUUCAGAAGGCUGAGGCAGGAGGGUCAAAGUCCAAGGGCAUGAGCUGGGUAUGGUGUCCCCUACCUGUAGUCCCAGCACUUGGGAGACUGGGGCAGGAGAAUCACUAGUUCAAGGCCAGCCUGGGCUACACAGCAAGACUCUGUCUCAAAAAGCAAAACAAAGUCAGGUGGCAUAGCUUGGUGGUCAGGCACCGGCC
rnacentral:lncRNA from 1 species